GGAUUCCACAGUGGUGCCCGCCAGCAAGGUGUCUAUAUGGCAGUAGGAGUUCCCAAGGACAGUUGUUGCCAGGGUCUGUGUCCCCAGGAUGAGCUGUAGUUGACUCCUUCCUCUUGAGGAGACUCUCCAAGAUCAGCAGACAUGCCCCAGGCUUCAUGAAGCAGAGACAGGCCAUCUGGGCUGUUCCCUGUGUGAAUUUCUGACCGGUAGAAUUUUUCUGGAGGUCAGAAGUCUGAAAUGAGUCUCACUGGGUUAAAAUCAAGAUAUCUGCAAAGCUGCCUUCCUUUUUGGAGGGACGCCCUCCUCUGCUAUUUGGGGCUUCCCAGGUGACACUAGUGGUAAAGAACCCGCCUGCCAAUGCAGGAGACAUGAAGGGUGCAUGGUGGAUCCCUGGACUGAGAAGAUCCUCUGGAGACGGAAACGGCAGUCCACUCCAGUAUUCUUGCCUAGAAAAUCCCCGUGGACGGAGGAACCUGGUGGGCUACAGUCCAUAGGGUUGCAAAGAAUUGGACACAACUGAAGAAACUUAGCCUGUACUUACAAGGGAAGACCCAUUUUCUUGCUUUUUAUGGCUUCUAGAGGUUGUGCCACUUUCCUUGUCUGUAGCCAGCAAUGGCCCAUCAAGUCUUCCUCACAUUGCCUCACUCAGACACUCACACUCCUGCUACCCUUGUGAGGAGCCUUGUGAUGA